rnacentral:misc_RNA from 1 species
UCCAGGGUUCCGAUAAAAUCUCUAGUACAAUUUGUAAAUAAGGGUUCAUUUGUUGAAGGAUCUAGUCUUUUCCUCUGCUUAUCUAGACCGAUGCCGACUCCCUUUAUUGCAAAAGAGGAGUAAGCACUAACCAAAGGUAGCUGAUGAGACAAUUUGCUAUGUGGUUGACAAAGAUUUAGAGGAUCAACAGCUAAAUCUGGAUGUGUUGGUUCUACCUUCCCCCUUGCAAGAAGAUGAUGUGGAGCACUUCCAGGAACAGAAUUAAAAUCCCCACAGACCAACAUUGGAAUAUCUGCACUUACGGCUAUUUUCUCCAGUCCUUUUAAUAGAGUAUGCACCUGCCAGAGCUUG